rnacentral:lncRNA from 10 species
UGGAGGAGCUAAGAGGUCAAAGGAUCAGAGAAAUGUCUGGGGCUAAUCUUCCCUUCCUUCUUUGGCUGCAGCCCACCCACCCUGGGGCUUCCUCUGAGUGGUCUGUAGAGCUCUGUCCCCUCAGCCUGUCCAAGUGCCAGGCACUACACCCUAGGGAAGAAGGUGGGGCCAGAUUUCCAGCUUAGCCUGGCCUGGCUGGAGAGUCACCCCAAGCACCUCAUUCUCUUCCCCUGCCCCGACCUCAACUCCACUCAUCUCUAUGCCCACCUCCGGGUGCGGCAGACCACAGUCAUCAUGGAGAAGACCACACCCACAGCCAGGCCCAAAUCCACACUCAGGGUCACUACUGCCACCCAGGUGACCAUCCACACAGCCUGCAGGAUAGGGAUAGGGGUGGAUUGCCCAAAAGAAAAGCCAGGCCAUCACUGCUGGGUAAAGAGAUCCAGGGCAGUGACUACCAAGGCAAGUGAUGGGGAGAGAUGAUCCAGGAAGAAGUGGAAAGCAUGACAGAAGGAAACAACAGGGUUGAUUCAAUGGGACACACACCAAAUGUAAUGACCCGCACCAGUUGGGAAGUUACAAAUAUUCAGGCCAAAGGGGUUCAAACCCCAUCCUUUCCCUUGCCUGUGAGUAAAGCAUACUAGGAGUUAUGUUUGCUGGGGGAGUGGGUGGGUUGCAGAACUUAAGACCAGGACAAUUAGGUUUGGUUCAGGGCAGAGGCUGGGGAUGCUAACAAGAUGAGAGGGGGCAAUCUGGGGGUAAUGGCAUUUCUCACAAAGUCCACUCGGCUGAUGUGCCAUAGUUGUGGAAGUUCCUGCAUCUGGCAGAACACCUGGCGCAUGCUGGAGAUGUUGAUGCAAGCCAGGACAGCCUUGAGGCAGAGGAGGUGGGCUGACUACCUCGAUGUCCUGGAAUACAGCUACCCCUCCCAGCCAUGCUCAUGCCUCCUCUGCUCAUUACCUUGGGCAGAUAGUAAAAGAAGGGCCCCAGCCACAGCAGCACCGACAGGACCACUGUGCAGGAGAAGAGGCCUGCCAGCUAGAGAAAAGGAGGAACAGGAGCAAAAAAGGAAGAGAGCCUCCCACCCCCACAUGAGAGCUGGUCUUCCUGCCCACUCUGCCUAAUCUUCCUCGGAAGUCUCCCUUCUCCCAAAUCUCCUUCCACACAACCCCCUUCUUAAUAUUCUGCCAUUCACAUCUAACCCUCCCGCUCCCCCCAAUUAAUUAAAUGCCCAUUAUUCACCAGUCUCCUUGUAGAUGUCCAUUGUUCAAGUUCCCCAGUUUUGUAGCCCACCUCCACCUUAAAAGCCACUGUUGGGUUACCCUAUAAGCAGGGUAUAUGUGUUUAGGGCACCAGCAAAGUAAGGGAAACCAAAAAUAUUAGGGGGAGACUUUGAUAUGUGAUAUUCCUUUUAAAAGACAAUGUCAUUGUGUGAAAAAAAUAAGAAUUUUAUCUCUUAA